rnacentral:rRNA from 1 species
CUUUCAUAUGAGCCUAUGUCGGAUUAGCUAGUUGGGGAGGUAAAGGCUCACCAAGGCGACGAUCCGUAACUGGGCUGAGAAGAUGAUCCUUCCCACUGGAACUGAGACACGGUCCAGACUCCUACGGAAGGCAGCAGUGGGGAAUAUUGGACGAUGGGCGAAAGCCUGAUCCACCCAUGCCGCGUGUGUGAAUAAGGGCUUCGGAUUGUAAAGCACUUUAAGUUGGGAGGAAGGGCAGAAAGUUAAUACCUUGCUGUUUUGACGUUACCAACAAAAUAAGCACCGGCUAACUUCGUGCCAGCAGCCGCGGUAAUACGAAGGGUGCAAGCGUUAAUCGGAAUUACUGGGCGUAAAGCGCGCGUACGUGGUUCGUUAAGUUGGAUGUGAAAGCCCCGGGCUCAGCCUGGGAACUGCAUCCAAAACUGGCGAGCUAGAGUAUGGCAGAGGGUGGUGGAAUUUCCUGUGUAGCGGCGAAAUGCGUAGAUUUAGGAGGGAACACCAGUGGAGAAGGCGACCACCUGGGCUAAUACUGACACUGAGGUGCCAAAGCGUGGGGAGCAAACAGGAUUAUAUACCCUGGAAGUCCACGCCGUAAACUAUGUCUACUAGCCGUUGGAUCCUUGAGAUCUUAGUGGCGCAGCUAACACUUUAAGUCGACCGCCUGGGGAGUACGGCCCAAGGUUAAACUCAGAUGAGUUGACGGGGGCCCGCACAAUUGGCGGAGCAUGUGGUUUAUUCCGAAGCAAUGUCCAGAACCUUAGCAGGGCCUGACGUGCAGAGCAGCUUUCCCAAGAUGGAUUGUGCCUUCGGAACUUCUGAUACAAGCUGCUGCAUAGCUGAGGCAGCUCCUGUCGUACAUGAUUGCGUAUGUCCGGAAGAACGAUACCCUUGUCUUAAUACCA